rnacentral:snRNA from 1 species
GUGCUCGCUUCGGCAGCUCAUAUACUAAAAUUGGAACGAUACAGAGAAGAUUAGCAUGGCCCCUGCACAAGGAUGACAGACAAAUUCAUGACGUGUUCCAUUUUUUU